rnacentral:lncRNA from 1 species
UUAUGCCCUGAUUCAGCGCCAGCUGACGGCUGCAUGGGCAGCGGGGCGGUUUUCACCUUGGUGAUGCCGCUGCUCGCGCUAGCUUGCAUAUCGUUGUUUUGGGAAAUGGUGCUACGGUGGCCCGCACCACGGCUUAGCCUCCAACGCGCGGCGGCGCUCGCCGGACUUGCAGUAACUGCAACCAUCCCAUACAAGUCAAAAGCACGGCACAUGAACGGGUUCCCUCACUCCUCACUUCCUCAGUGCUGCGCGCCCACCGCGGAGACCACCCGCGCUGCCACUGCCUCCUGCAGUAGCAAGUAAAUGUUGCCUUCAUUUCUUUGAAUGCCUGUCUCUAGGUCAAAU